GUAACCGGUUUCGGUUCCAAAUCCUAAAAUUUUGGACCCGGUACCCAGUGGGUACCCGGUUAGAUAUGAUAAAUAUAUUUAUCAGUUAGUGGCUCUACUUCCCUGCACGUUAUCCAUCUCUUCUCUGUGUGUGUUUGCAGAAAUUACCAACAAACACCUUUCCCCCGUUUUCUCUCUCCUCCUUUUCAACAUGCCAUCUUCUUCUUCUUUCUUUUACCAUGAUAAAUUUCAUUCCUUUUCUAUUAAAUUUCCCAACUAAAAAAAAGAGGGGGAAAUUAAUCCUAAAUCAAAUCAAAUUAAAACACAAAAAAAAAUUAAAAAAAAAAAAAAAAAAAAAACCGAAGUACCUAGUUUAGUGAAAUUCUUCCUUUACUCUUUCUCUCCAUACUUAAAUCUUUCAUAUUGAAUAAAGUCUAAGAUAUGGAAGAUCACAGCCCAUCUUUCGUUCAUCUCGUGCGGGUCUUUAGGUAUUUUUCCCCAUUUUCUCUGUUUUUUUUUUUUUGGGGGGGGGGAGGGGGGGAGGUUUAUCAUGCAAUUUUUGUAGAUCUAUGCUUGUAUAUUCAAAGUUCAAGGAAUUGUGCUUGUAGGGUGUUGUUCAAAUCACCGAAAUUGUGUUUCGAUUGUGUUACAUUAUAUGAUUCUUAUAAGAUUAGCCGAUGGAAUUUCUGGGUUUUUGAAUUAGAUUUUGAAAUUUUGUAUGUUUUCAGAAAUUAAUUUUGUAGUUAAAGUUGUAUUGCAAUUUAGUUUUAACUUUGGGAAAUAAUUGAAAUAAGAACUGGGUACCCGAUCUUGGAACCGGUUCCCACCAGUUCCGCCACUACGGGACCCGGUUACAACCAGUUCCAGUUCUGGUUUUAAAAUCUCGGACCCGAUUAUAACCAUUAAAACUGACCGGGUACCCAGUUUUGCUCACCCCUAGUUAUAAUGAACAAUAUAAUAUUUUAAAAUGUUUAGUUUAGAUUUUAUGUAAAGCAAAUGUCAUUAUUUAGAUACAAUUCUUCAUUAUGGUAAUAAUAUUAUUUAUUUAUUUUUUAAAAGUAAAUGCUCUUGGAGGGAAAUUUUUUAAUAUGACGUUGUCAAGUGUCACUUUUAUUCGCGUUUAGUAAUAUGUAAUAGAUGUUUUGUUUAGAUUUUAUGUAAAGCAAAUGUCAUUAUUUAGAUACAAUCCUUCGUUAUGGUAAUAAUAUAUAUAUAUAUUUUUUAAGUAAAUACUCUUGGAGGGAAAAUUUUUAAUAUGAUGUUGUCAAGUGUCGCUUUUAUUCGCCUUUAGUAAUAUGUGAUAGAUAGAUAGAUAGAUUUUGAGUUACCAAGGGGGCCUUGGUAAUUUAAUGCCUACAUUUUGUAUGAAUUGGAAAUUCACAUGAAUUUGCAAUUUCUAUAUUUUUCACUUUCUAUAGCCAACUAAACAAACUCCCUAUUUCUAAAUUUCCAUGAUUUUUCAAUUCCCCCAUUUUUUUUUCUUCUGUUUAAACAAACAAGACCUGAAUAUGAUAAAUUCAAUUUAAUAAUUACUACUAGUGUGAAUGUAUGAUUUUAUAUAUUUAUUUAUUUAUUCAUAAUUAAAAGUACUGUAACAUGAUUAUUUGAUAAACAACUGAAAAAAUGUGUUAAUUACUCUAAAAAGGAAAUAUUAUGUGGAAUACUGGCUAGCAAGUAGCAAGCCUCCCAAAGUCGUAGAUGUGUUGUACUAGGGUGAGGAUUUCUUGGUCUCUACCUAGUUGCGUCCUCUUGGACUCUACCUACCGACACUUUUGGCGGUAUUCGUUUGGUAUUGUUUUUAAUGUCGUUGGUAUACCAACAACAACCAAGACAAGCCUAGUUGGUAUUCUUCUUUGAUACCAACGAACUCCUAAUUGGUAUUUCUUUUGAUACUAACGAACCUUUAUAUAAUACUAUUUAUAUAUUAAUAUCAAUUAAUGUUCACUCGUUUUUCGAUUUAUGACUUUUAACGAUAUAGUUAUCACAACUCUAUUAUUUAUAUAUCGAAAUAAAUUAUCUUAACAGUUUAACAACCCACCAUACUUCGCAAUAAUAAUUCUUUAACUAGAGAGUUUUGACCAAUACCUAAACUUAGUCGACAAUGGAACCUCGGAGCUUCCAGCUUUACCAAGGUAGCUAACCCAACCCUGUCUUCCUUAGAUCAAGCAUAACACAGAUCUAAUUCGUUUCCUACCUUAGACCGUAAUCUCUAAUCAAACAAUUUGUACUGUGUUUAUGAUGGAACUUCUUAAACAAAAGGAUAACUCAUUUGAUAUAUAAGGUUCAAGGGAAUAACGUUCCCUUCUUAAACAAAACUUUUAUUUAAUUUGAAAACAUUACAACACUCAUACAUUACACAAACUAAUUGAAAGCAUAAACAGAUAUAAGCUGAACUAGAGCUUUCUCUACUUUAAGAGAGAUGGAGAACUAAUCUGUCUUUUAAGGUGAGUAUUUUCCUCUAGAGCCUUCACGUCUUUGCCUAAUGCCCUUUAUAUGGGGGAAGGCUCACAAAGGUCACCGACACUUUCUAUGGCUUACAGAAAACCAUGACUCAGCAAGUGAAUAUCGUUCAUUGCCUUUCUAAAGAUACCCUAAAACAAAUAAAACGUGCUACAACAGUGAAAGUAGAAUACAUUAUUGUUGGUGUAGGCUCAGGAUUCCAUUAUCUCGUCCAUUAUCAUAUCUUGCAGACCACCUUCACUGUCCUUAUUGUCUUCAUAAUGGACAUACAUUUGGUUGUCUUCUUCUAUACUGAGAUCCAUCACACAUUUGGCAACAUAGGAUUCAUCCCAUGUGACAAAGACCUCCAAUAAGUGCUCUUUUCCCUCUAAGGAUAAAUAUCUCCCAGCUUCAACUUGUUCAACAUAAUCAUACACUGAUUCACCAAUGUAAUACUCCUUCUUCAAGUAAUUUCUUAACCAUUCUGGUGCUACUAUUGUAGUAUUCCCCACAUGUAUUAUGAUCGGUGGUUCUUCCUUUAUUCUAUGAACUGGUUAAGAUACUGAGCAAUAUAGAAAAAUCCAUAAGCUCUUGCCUCCGUAGGAUCUUUUACUCGUCUCUGCUGGAUACAGAUUGGAUUUUUGACUUUGUGAUGAACAUCUUCAAACAUGAUCAGGAAAUGUGAAGAGCUAACUUUUCCUUCAACCAUUUCGAUGUUUGCCCUUUGCACUUGGACUUGUUCAACUCUUCCUUUGUAUCGUGUUGCAUCGUAAAUUCUUCUAAAUACAUACCUCUGGAAUUUUGUGAGUUUCUCAAAGAAAGUAGUAUUAUUAUCAAGAAAUGGUACAAUGCUAUGAACCAUUCCAUAAUCUCAACCUCUGUAGUGCUCCGCCACAUAUGGUGUCAUCCAUUCCAGAGAAUGUGGAUGAAUUAACACAAUACCUACUCUGGAAUUAUUGUUGAACAUUAUUCUACUCCCCCAUGAAUCAUAAACAUCAUACAACUUGUAUAACCUUGAUACAACUAAAUUGUACCAGAAUAUAAAAUCAUUAUCUUUUAUUUUGUUUAGUAUUAUAUCCUAAAUAUCAGGAAUGAGUCGCAGGAUAAUGACCAUUACUUCGUACAUUAGGAACCUUCGAACUGCUACAUGACAACUUUUAAUCAAACCAUCUCGAGAUCUAUUUUUUGAUGAAAUAAUCAUGGCCCCCAUCGAGGCCCAAAUGGAGGGUGAAACCCGCUCCAUUGCUAUAUUAGUUUCCUCAAUAAGAGUUUUUCUCUCUACCUCCAUCUUUCUAGUUGAUGGGCAGGAGGUUUUCCUGAUGUCUUGUGCUUCUUCGUCAUUGGCUAAUUUUUUGGUCAAGCUAUCUGCCAAAGAAUUCUUCGAUCCCUGUAUAUGUUCAACAGUAAAAGAGAAUUGGUUAAGCCAUAAUUGCCAACGCAGGAGUCUCCCUUGCGCUUGCAUAUUAGACAAAUUCUUUUUAACAAAACCAAGUAUGCCUUUGCAAUUUGUUCUUAUUAAGAUGUUUAGGGGCUAAGAAGAUUAAGAACUUCUCGAUCCCUCUAAUGACUGCAAGAAUUUCCUUUUGCAUUGUAGGAUAAUUUAACUCAGCUUUAUUAAAACUUCCAUUGCAGAAUCUUUCUCCUUCUUUGAUUUUUAACACAGCACUCCAGUGCGCUCAUUACUAGCAUCUGUUUCAAGGAUUAAAUCAUCUUCACUAGUAGGUAGUGUUAGUACAGACAUAACUUUACACAUAGCUUUUAAAUCUUAAACAACUUUCGAAUCACUUUCCUUCCAAUUCCAAGUUAUUUCUUUCUUGAGUUUAUGUUGUAAUGGUUUUCUUAACAAAGCAAGAUUUUCUAUGAAAUCAAAAGCAUAGGUUAAACAUCCUAGAAAUCUUUCCAAUUGUUUUCUAUCCUCAAUUUUAUAUGGGAAUUUUUCAAGCUUUUUCAGGAUAUGUUUUUGCAAGAUUAUUUGUCCUGCUUUAAUUUCCAAUCCAUGAAACUCAAUUUCUUGUCUAGCAUAAACACAUUUAUCUUUUCCAAGGAUUAUACCAUGCUCAACACUUUUUUUAGUUACAGCUUUAAGAUCAUUCUUAUGUUGUUCUAAAUCUUUUGAGAAUAUUAGAAUAUCAUCUAUGUAAACCAAACAACAAUGAUUAAGCUCGCUGAAAAUAUUAUCCAUUCUUCUUUGAAAUAUCUGUGGAGCAUUUUUUUAAUCCAAAAGGCAUUACUAACCAUUCAUAAUGCCCUUGAGGAGCACUAAAUGCAGUUAAUGGAAUGCUUUCGUCUUCCAUUUUAAUUUGCGAGUAACCACUCUUACAAUCCAUCUUAGAAAACCAUGUGGCUCUUUGUAUUCCAUUAAAUAACACAGUUUUAUUAGGAAUGUAAUAUCCAUCAAAAACAGUAUUGUCAUUUAGCUGUUUAUAAUUAAUGAUCAUUCUAGCUUUACCUCUUUUUUCUUCUGCAUGAUUCCUUACCAUGCAUGCUGGACUAUUAUGAGGACUCUUGCUAUUCCUGAUUAAUUUCUUAUUCAACAAUUCUUUUAUUUGUUCAUCAAAUUCUAAUAUAUCUUGAUAGGUAUAAACCAUCUGUCUUACUCUAAUAAUCUUAUUCGGAUUUGUUAGAGUUAUCUUAGCAAAUGCUUUAUCCUUUUCCCAAUUUUCUAAUGGAUUUGUUGAAUAUAAGUUUUCACAUAUUUUUUCUUGUUGCUUAUCUAUCCGAUCUAUUAAUGAUGAUUCACACCCUGAAAUUCUAAGUGCAACCUCUCGUUCACUAGUGGAAAAAAUGCUAUUAGCAGCGCCCUAUUAGUAAUUGACGUUAUAUACGUUAGUUACUAAAACACUAAUUGCAACUGACCAAAAUAAUGUCAGUUACAAAUACUACAUCAUUAGCAACUGGUGUAGAUAUGAGCGUUGCUAAUAAUUAGUGUGCAAAAAUUAAAAUUUAUAUUAGCAACUGGCCUAUUUAACGCCAGUUGCAAAUAUAAUGCCAUUUGUAACUGGCGUAGAAAUGCCCGCUACUAACACUAGGUGAAAUAAAAAUUGACCAAAAUAAUUGUAAUUGACCCUAAAAGUGCCCGCUACUAAAGAUUUUUUAAGCUGUAGUUUUCGCACAGCCUCACUCCAUUUUCUCUCCUCUCUCAGUCCUUUUCUUCGAUAUACCCGCCUCUCCUCCAUUUUAUCUCUCCUCUCUCCUCCAUUUUUUCGUACAGCCUCGCUCAGCUCCACUUUCGCUCUCCUCCAUUUCCCCACAACUUCACUCUCCUCCAUUUUUGCACAGCUUCGCUCCCCUCACAAGAAAACCCUAGAACUGAUUGAGUUAAUUUUGGGUGGAAUUGUACAGCCAGUUGAGGCCUAUUUCAGAGUUGAGGCUUGGCAACGUUUUUCACGCUGCCAAUAUCAUUUCCAGUGAUGGAUAUGCUAUGGCUUUCGCCCUAAAAUACAUUGUAUUGCCAGCAGUGAUUAUGAGGGAUUGUAAAUAUUUGGGACAUUGCUACUAAUCAGGUGGUAUUAAUAGUUCUAAUAAGCUGUUUGUCCCAUUAAGCUUGUUCUACAUUCUAAGGCUACUGGUUUGGUUUUACUUUGACUUUUGUCAGUAAUGCUAACUUCCCUGAUAACGGGCUUGGAGUGUGGAUUUUUCGCGUACUGAACCUUCACUGAUGGUAUCUGGUGGGGAUGACUACAAGAUACCCUAACUUGAAGAGAUCUGAUCUACAAGAGGGGUUCGGAAAGGUUAACAAGCAGACUGAUAACUCCAUCAUUGAGCAGUUUUUGGAGGAAAAUGCAUGGCUAAUUUGGUUUAUUUGAGUUGUUCGUGCUGCUGCUCUUUGCUGCUUAUAAGUGUUGUUCCCGGGCGCUUUUGUUGUUGUGUUUCUGUAGAAGCCUUGUAAUUUUUUUUAUUUGUAAUUAAUGUAUACUGCAUAAUUAACAUAAAAUUUGUCAUAAAGAGUAUAUGAUAUAAUUUGUAUAUCAA